GUAAGGAAUAUUGGACAAUGGACGCAAGUCUGAUCCAGCCAUGCCGCGUGAAGGAUUAAGGUCCUCUGGAUUGUAAACUUCUUUUAUAAGGGACGAAAAAAGGCUUUUCUAAGUCGUCUGACGGUACCUUAUGAAUAAGCACCGGCUAACUCCGUGCCAGCAGCCGCGGUAAUACGGAGGGUGCAAGCGUUAUCCGGAUUCACUGGGUUUAAAGGGUGCGUAGGCGGGCAGGUAAGUCAGUGGUGAAAUCCUAGAGCUUAACUCUAGAACUGCCAUUGAUACUAUCUGUCUUGAAUAUUGUGGAGGUAAGCGGAAUAUGUCAUGUAGCGGUGAAAUGCUUAGAUAUGACAUAGAACACCUAUUGCGAAGGCAGCUUACUACGCAUAUAUUGACGCUGAGGCACGAAAGCGUGGGGAUCAAACAGGAUUAGAUACCCCAGUAGCC
rnacentral:rRNA from 1 species